rnacentral:rRNA from 1 species
UACGUAGGGUCCGAGCGUUGUCCGGAAUUACUGGGCGUAAAGAGCUCGUAGGUGGUUUGUCGCGUUGUUCGUGAAAACUCACAGCUCAACUGUGGGCGUGCGGGCGAUACGGGCAGACUAGAGUACUGCAGGGGAGACUGGAAUUCCUGGUGUAGCGGUGGAAUGACGCAGAUAUCAGGAGGAACACCGGUGGCGAAGGCGGUUCUCUGGGCAUUACCUGACGCUGAGGAGCGAAAGCAUGGGGAGCGAACAGG